rnacentral:lncRNA from 1 species
CAGAGACAGAGAUGGGGAACACAAAGCAGGAUGUCUCUGGGAAGGCUGCACUGAGUGGGUUGUUGGUUGGCUUUGGAUCCUCAGUUAGCUUAUGCAGGCAGCAGGGAGCUGGCUGUCAGAGCCCUUCCCAAGAGUCUGCUAUAAGCACCUCCUUGAUAAUUCCUAACAGAUGGAAUGGUUUUGGGCUUUCAGGGACACAGAGCCAGCCAGGGAUCAUUGCAGAAGCUGUUAUCAUGAUCUAGGUUGUGUCUCAUAAGUCUACACCUGAGAGUACCUUUGUCACAAUUGUCCCCAUCCAGGAGAUGGGCUUGGGGAGCUGUGUUUUCAGAAUGAGAUGAGAGAAGAGAUGAAGAAGACACUUGUGAGAAAGAUCACAGAGCUCAGGAAUGGCCUCCAUGUCAUCUUCCCUCAGACCUCUGAGUGCUCACCAUGGCAAGUGCCUACCUACACACAUAAGCAAAAUUAAACACAUGUUAAAACCUGACCUCCCCAUGCUCACCAUGUUAAGUACACAGCUGCUUCACUGAAAAUCAAAACCAAUUUCCAGGACCAUGUUUCCAGAUGGGAACUCAUGUUGAUGGUGAUCUAAAUAUGAAGUUUCUCUUGGAUGACAAGGCGAACAGAGCCAGAAAACAAUACAAGCUUGCACCUUGGGUUUUCAUCCUGGGUCAUCUUCUCUUCUGCAUGGUGAUGUUCAUCUGCUUUUCCUUUACCAUCUCCAGUUUUCCUCAGGACACUAGUUCACCAUCUUACGCUGUGAUAAACACCUGGAUGAAAGCAGCUUCAGGGCUGAAAGGAUGUGUUUGGAUUAUACUGUAAUUAUUGAGGGAAGUCGGGGCAGGAACUCAAGCAGGAGAGAGGAGAUAGGAACUGAAGCAGAGGCCAUGGAGGAAUGAUGACUUUUGGAUUCUUCUCCACGGCUUUGAUCAACCUGCUUUCUUACACAACCCAGGACAAUCUGCCCAGGAGUUGCACCAUCUGCAGUAAGCUGGGAUCUCCCACAUAAAUUGUUAAUCAAGAAAAUGCACCACAGAUUUGCCCACGGGCGAAUCUGGUAGUCAGUUCCUCAGUUAAGAGGGAAUCUUCUCUCAGGUGAUUCUACUUUUGUCAAGAUGAGGCUCAGCUACUGCUGUAAGCCUUCAUCAUCCCUCUUGAAAUGAAGGUUAGACUGGGUGGACUGCAUUUUUCCUAAGCAACUUGUUAGCAGCAGCCUCUUAUUAUCUGUCCCCUGCCAUCAUUCAUUGGUGAUACUUUAGCUUCUUACUGUAGUUGCUUCUCCUCAUAUGUUUACUCACUCAUUCAACUGAAUCUACAAAUGAUUUUGAUUUUAUAUCCUCUAAAAUGCCUGAUUUACUUCAUAACUGAAAAUUUUGUGUCACUUUUUCUUCAUUGUUUGUUAAAAUAUUUUAUUUCUACACAUCUUUCUCCUUACAAAAAUGCUGCCAAACGUGUUUGAGCUCUUCAUUCUGAACUCCAUGUUCUUAACUGUCUUAAGUAACUAUUGUAUAUUUGAAGACAAAAAUCACUUGCCCUGUACUCAAGAGAAUUGCUGAUUUGUUCUUUCUGAGUCAUUUAGAAUGUUACUUUUAUUUUAUGUUGAAGCCUUAUAUGUCUUUUUUGUUUGUUUGCUUGUGUUUUUUUUUUAAUGUUGCUUAGAUACCAGAAUAAGUGGUGAUAUUAUUGUUAGCCUCAAAAUGCAGUAAGACUUACAUACAAGGACAGUACCAUGGUGGAGGCAGACAAAGUCUUUCAAUGCUUUCACAUGUCAAUAUUCAUGUAACUGCACAGUUAUUUAAAAUGCAUUUCUGUUCAGCUUUGU